CCUCUCCACGUCUCUUACUCUCCGUGUAAAAAAACAAUCGUGCGCCAUAGUCUAUUCUCCUCCCCAUGGUCUCCUCCUCACGUUCUCUACUCCCCAUGGUCUCCUACUCCCCACGAUCUCCUCCCCAUGGUCUCCUCCUCCCCAGAGAAAGUAAAUCAAUCAUAUCUCUCAAAUUGGAGCAAGGAAAUUAGGAAACCAAUCUGGUGCGCUCACGCCAUGGAAUCUCUCAUCCUCCUCCCAUGGAAAAAACAAACAAACAAAUCUUUCUCAAAUUGGAGCAACCAAGUUGGGGAAUAGAUCAGUCCUAGGAUUCAAUCCUAGGUUUGCUGACGUACGCUCUUUGGGAACUUCGUGGAGAUCGCGACAGGGCAGAACCAAGCUCAUGCUGCCAUCUUAUAAAUUAACUGCAGCCUGACACAAAUAAUCUACACAUCAAGGAGGCUCUUGUCGGUCGUGAACAUCGUCGCUGGUGAACCAUCUCCUAUUUGCCCGGUGCAUGUAGCUCCCGCUUGCGCAGGGUCCGGGGAAGGGUCUGACCACUUUGGGUCUAUAGUACGCAGCCUUUCCCUACAUUUCUGUCAGUUUCUUUUGUUUGCCUUCAAAACAAUGGCAUACGAUAUGCUCCGUGAGAUUAGCAAUCAGAAGGAUUCCUUGAAAGUAAAGGGUACUAUGAUACAUGGCAAGGUAAUGAAGCAUAUGGUUAACAAGUUCAGACCAUUGAUCCAAGAAGGUUUAGUCUACAUGAUAGCAAAUUUUAAGAUGUCAUUGGCAUAGCAAGUUGCAUAUGGCAUAUUGAAGAAACACAGACAACCCACGGGAUUUCAAAGACUCGAGAUAUUGUGCUUCGGAUUGAGGAUCAAAAAAUUAAUAUUAGACUAUGGGGUAAUAAGGUUGGUCAAAUUGAUGAAGAUUCUUUGGGGCGUGUGGUCAUAGUAACAUCAACUACUGUUAAAAAACUGAAAGAGUACUCGCUGUCAUCUACAGGUGCGACCAGAGUUUAUAUCAAUUUGGAUAUCCCUGAAACAAAUGAGCUUCAAACGAGGUAUUGCUUGCAAGAUGGUAUGGUAGAAGAAAUAGAGCCGGAAGACCACUUGCAAGGCACAAUUCGAGAACAGAUGCUCUAUAACAGAAGAACCCUAAAAGAAAUAACUGAAAUUACAUAUGAAUCUGAAAAAUGGGUAUUUAUAGUUAGUAUUAUAUUCUUUUGUCAUAAAUUUUAUGUGCUAAUUUAACCUAUAAUGGACAAGAAGAGUUCUAUACUGCAGAAGCAAUGAUUAAGUUAAUUAAUACAUCAGAUGAGUGGUACUACAUAGGAUGCCGCAGAUGCAACAAAAAAGUACAGAAACAAGGGAACCACUUCUACUCUCCGAAAUGUGAAAAAGAACCUGAGAAGAUAUGUCCAAGGUACAAACAGAAACUCGAGAUAUGUGAUAUGAGUGCAACAACAACUUGCACCAUGUUUGAGGCAGAAGCAAAAAAAUUGAUUAAGCAAUCUGCAAGUUUUUUGAUAGAGAGGGAUGAUGUGAUAUCCAUGAGCAAACAAAACAAAUCCAGAAAAUAUGUGGGCAGAGAUUGAUUUUUCAAUUCAGAUUGAAUGACUAUAAUUUGAAGUGGUUAUCAAGAAUACAUUGUUCAUAGAAUCUUUUUCAUAGAUUCUGGAAAAGAUACAUCAGUACAUCAUUCAAAUGUUGAGCAGGAGCAAGCAGGCAAGUUAUCAGUUAUGAAAACUAUAGAGCAAGAACCAGAGGAUGAUGAACCCACUAUUAACCGGACUAAAAGGGGUAGGAGAAGUAGCACAACUCAUGUUGUACACCUUGAUGAAGAACCAAAAACUGAAGGUAGUCAGAAAAUAAUGAAAUGAAAAUCUAUGGAAGCAGGCCCCAGGAGGAAACGCGCCAUAACUCGCAAAUGUGCUGGUAUUGAUAGCAAACAAGUAAACAAUCACCAUGAAGAAGAAUCAGAACAGGCAGGUACUGAGGAGCACAAUGAUUCAAGGCCUAGGACAAGGCGUAGUUGUGUCAGUAAAGAAUUGAUGAACAAAGACAUUCAGAAGUGUGGUGUAUCAAGAAGUCGAAAGUCAAAUCGUUGAUUAGUGGAAAUCCAGUUAUUUAGCAUGUAAUAGAACAUAUAGGAGCAUCAGAUUUGUACUUUAUAUGAACAUCAUUGUUUAAGAUUGGUUUUAAUACAUUAAAUGCGUACCUUUGUGUUAGUAAAGUCAUUAGUGAAAAGCAGCC
rnacentral:rRNA from 1 species